rnacentral:rRNA from 1 species
GACGAACGCUGGCGGCGUGCUUAACACAUGCAAGUCGAACGGAAAGGCCCUGCUUUUGUGGGGUGCUCGAGUGGCGAACGGGUGAGUAACACGUGAGUAACCUGCCCUUGACUUUGGGAUAACUUCAGGAAACUGGGGCUAAUACCGGAUAGGAGCUACUGCUGCAUGGUGGGGGUUGGACAGUUUCGGCGGUUGGGGAUGGACUCGCGGCUUAUCAGCUUGUUGGUGGGGUAGUGGCUUACCAAGGCUUUGACGGGUAGCCGGCCUGAGAGGGUGACCGGCCACAUUGGGACUGAGAUACGGCCCAGACUCCUACGGGAGGCAGCAGUGGGGAAUAUUGCACAAUGGGCGGAAGCCUGAUGCAGCAACGCCGCGUGCGGGAUGACGGCCUUCGGGUUGUAAACCGCUUUCGCCUGUGACGAAGCGUGAGUGACGGUAAUGGGUAAAGAAGCACCGGCUAACUACGUG